rnacentral:rRNA from 1 species
CCACGGGAGGCUGCAGUGGGGAAUAUUGGACAAUGGGCGAAAGCCUGAUCCAGCCAUGCCGCGUGUGUGAAGAAGGCCUUCGGGUUGUAAAGCACUUUCAGUGGGGAAGAAAGCCUUGGGGCUAAUACCCUCGAGGAAGGACAUCACCCACAGAAGAAGCACCGGCUAACUCCGUGCCAGCAGCCGCGGUAAUACGGAGGGUGCGAGCGUUAAUCGGAAUUACUGGGCGUAAAGCGCGCGUAGGCGGUCUGAUAAGCCGGUUGUGAAAGCCCCGGGCUCAACCUGGGAACGGCAUCCGGAACUGUCAGGCUAGAGUGCAGGAGAGGAAGGUAGAAUUCCCGGUGUAGCGGUGAAAUGCGUAGAGAUCGGGAGGAAUACCAGUGGCGAAGGCGGCCUUCUGGACUGACACUGACGCUGAGGUGCGAAAGCGUGGGUAGCAAACAGGAUUAGAUACCCUGGAGUC